rnacentral:misc_RNA from 1 species
UUCGCGACGCCGACGCCCGCAUGAGACCCGACCGACGGUACGGCCGCGUGCUCAAGACGGGUUCGACGGUCGUUCGUGUCGAGGGACAAAUGCGUUGCUCGGGCCGACGGAGCCAAAAGACCCCACGCCCGCGCGUAACGUUCCGCAUCCGAGAGCACGGGCAGUGCGCCCCGUGGGCCUAGGCAGCCACGCAACUGGGCGAGGCGUGCCGGGAACACGAGGCUUGCCUGACGUCCACCCCACCACCCGCGAGGGCAUGGGGCGGAAAGGGACCAACGAAACCGUCGGAUUCCUUUCGAUAGGUAAGCAACACAGGAUACCGAAAG